CAGAGAGCUUGUUGGACAACAUGUACUACUAAGCUACAUGAUUUUUUUAAAGACUGAUGACAAAAAAUCUUUUCAGUAUCUGCUGCAUCCUGGUCAGAGCUAUGAUGGAUGACCCUGGAAACAAAUGGAGACAAAUGGAGACAAAUGGAGAUUUACAUCACAUGGACACAGAGCAACCACACCACCACCACCACCACCACCACCAGGCUUCAUACACACGUCUUUCCUGAAGCUGUCAAACACGCCACCAUCAGUCUCCAAACACUUCCCGACACUCACAAUCACACACAACACACACACACACACACACACACACACACACACACACACACACACACACACACACACACACACACACACACACACACACACAUUGUAUUCUCCUAUACAUUACAGAAACCAGUUUUCACUGGUUUCUUAAUUUUAUUAAUAAUUCUGUUCAUCGUCAAGAAUUUAGUAUCGAUUAAAUACAUUGAACUCUUA